rnacentral:rRNA from 1 species
GAUGAACGCUGGCGGCGUGCCUAAUACAUGCAAGUCGAGCGAACAGAUAAGGAGCUUGCUCCUUUGACGUUAGCGGCGGACGGGUGAGUAACACGUGGGUAACCUACCUAUAAGACUGGAAUAACUCCGGGAAACCGGGGCUAAUGCCGGAUAACAUUUAGAACCGCAUGGUUCUAAAGUGAAAGAUGGUUUUGCUAUCACUUAUAGAUGGACCCGCGCCGUAUUAGCUAGUUGGUAAGGUAACGGCUUACCAAGGCAACGAUACGUAGCCGACCUGAGAGGGUGAUCGGCCACACUGGAACUGAGACACGGUCCAGACUCCUACGGGAGGCAGCAGUAGGGAAUCUUCCGCAAUGGGCGAAAGCCUGACGGAGCAACGCCGCGUGAGUGAUGAAGGCCUUCGGAUCGUAAAACUCUGUUAUUAGGGAAGAACAAAUGUGUAAGUAACUGUGCACGUCUUGACGGUACCUAAUCAGAAAGCCACGGCUAACUACGUA